UCCGCCUGCCCUGGCCUCCCAAAGUGCUGGGAUUACAGAUGUGAGCCACCACGCCCAGCCAUGCUCGAUGAUUCUUGACGGGCCCUGGAUCCAGCUGACAGCCACCCGGGAGCCGCACCACGGGGAAUGCUGCGUAGGUUCUCAAGUGCACAUCUCACAGCUUCGCUGACAGGACAGCAAAGGACCAGAGAGAGGAAGUAACUCACCCAAGGCCCUUCAGGUGACUGGUGCACAGCCUGGGCAGAAGCCAAGUUUCCUGAUUCUGAGGCCAUUCAGGGUUGACCUCGCCCCCAAAUCAUCAGUUCUGGAAACUGAAAGUCCAAGAUCACAGCUCCAGCAGAACCAGUGUCUGGUGGGGACCCUUCCUGGUUCAUGGACAACUGUCUUCUUGCUGUGUCCUCACGAUUAAAAGAGUGAGAAAUAUC
rnacentral:lncRNA from 1 species